rnacentral:siRNA from 1 species
UGGGUUCCAUGGAAUAGCGGCUUU